CUCAGAACGAACGCUGGCGGCAGGCCUAAUACAUGCAAGUCGAACGCCCUUCGGGGGAGUGGCAGACGGGUGAGUAACGCGUGGGAACAUACCCAGGGUUCGAAUAACUUAGGGAAACUUAAGCUAAUACCGGAUACGCCUUGCGAGGGAAAGAUUUAUCGCCCCCUGGAUUGGCCCCGCGUCGGAUUAGUUUGUUGGUAGGGUAGAAGCCUACCAAGGCUACGAUCCGUAGCUGGUCUGAGAGGAUGAUCAGCCACACUGGGACUGAGACACGGCCCAGACUCC
rnacentral:rRNA from 1 species